rnacentral:rRNA from 1 species
GUCCUUGCCGUAAACGAUGUGGAUUAGGUAUCGGGGGUGUUGAUCCCCCCGGCGCCGCAGUUAACACAUUAAAUCCACCACCUGGGGAGUACGGUCGCAAGACUGAAACUCAAAGAAAUUGACGGGGACCCGCACAAGCGGUGGAGCAUGUGGUUUAAUUCGAGGCUACGCGAAGAACCUUACCCAGGCUUGACAUGUAGUUGACUGUGAAUGAAAGUUCAUUUUCCCGCAAGGGACGAUUACACAGGUGCUGCAUGGCUGUCGU